GACGAACGCUGGCGGCGUGCCUAAUACAUGCAAGUAGAACGCUGAAGAGAGGAGCUUGCUCUUCUUGGAUGAGUUGCGAACGGGUGAGUAACGCGUAGGUAACCUGCCUUGUAGCGGGGGUAAAUAUUGGAAACGGUUGCCAAUACCGCAUAACAAUGGAUGGAACAUUUCCUUUAUUUGAAAGGGGCAAUUUCCCCACUACAAGGUGGAACUGCGUUGUAUUAGGUAGUAGGUGAGGUAAUGGCUCACCUAGGCGACGAUACAUAGCCGACCUGAGAGGGUGAUCGGCCACACUGGGACUGAGACACGGCCCAGACUCCUACGGGAGGCAGCAGUAGGGAAUCUUCGGCAAUGGGGGCAACCCUGACCGAGCAACGCCGCGUGAGUGAAGAAGGUUUUCGGAUCGUAAAGCUCUGUUGUAAGUCAAGAACGGGUGUGAGAGUGGAAAGUUCACACUGUGACGGUAGCUUACCAGAAAGGGACGGCUAACUACGUG
rnacentral:rRNA from 1 species